rnacentral:rRNA from 1 species
GAAACACGGACCAAGGAGUCUAGCAUGUGCGCGAGUCAUUGGGAUCGCAAUAAACCUAAAGGCGCAAUGAAAGUAAAGGUCCGCCUCGCGCGGACCUAGGGAGGAUGGGCCCGUUCACGGGCGGGCCCCGCACUCCCGGGGCGUCUCGUUCUCAUUGCGAGAAGAGGCGCACCCAGAGCGUACACGCUGGGACCCGAAAGAUGGUGACCUAUGCCCGGUCAGGACGAAGUCAGGGGAAACCCUGAUGGAGGUCCGUAGCGAUUCUGACGUGCAAAUCGAUCGUCGGAACUGGGUAUAGCGGCGAAAGACUCAUCGAACCAUCUAGUAGCUGG